GCCGCCUUAGCUCAGUUGGUAGAGCACCGAACUUGUAAUUCGAAGGUCGUCGGUUCGAUUCCGACAGGCGGCU
rnacentral:tRNA from 1 species